CUCUCUUCGCGAUUCUUGGAGAGUAGGCCCUGCCCAGUGCGGAGAAUUUAAACGGAAUUUUUUUAAAGUAGCGUAAUAAUUUGGCCCCUAAUUAGGGUCUGGAAUGAAUGGGUUGACGUGGGGGGGCUGUCUCAAAGGGAGCCCUUAAAAUUUUCUUUCUAGUGAAAAGCCUGGAAUUCUUCUAAAAGACGAGAAGACCCCGUCGAGCUUGAUUAGCUUUCCUGAUUUAUAAAAAUUAGAAAGUAAAGGUUUGUUGGGGCAACAGUUGAGAAAUAAAACCUCUUAAACUUUAACAAGGAUCCGCUUUUUAGUGAUAAAAGGAAAAAGUUACCGCGGGGAUAACAGCGCAAGAUAGCCAGAGAGUUCUUAUUGAAGGCUGUAUUUGUGACCUCGAUGUUGGAUUAGAGCAAACCGUUUGGCGUAGAAGUCAAGAAAGGUGGGACUGUUCGUCCCUUAAUUCUCU
rnacentral:rRNA from 1 species